GUAGUUGGAUGACGUGUGUACGUCCUUGUGAAGUGCGAGAGAAACAAUUGGGAAUCCAUCUGUUUUUUUUCAACAAAAAUGUCAAAGAUGUCCUAAGCCCCUUCACAUACCAUGUCUAGUGCCUAGUCACAUGUUAUCAACAGAAGAAAAAGAAAAAAAAAUAACUACAACCGACUCUACUCAACACCUAGGAGUAUUGGAGUAUAAUUUACCACUCAAAGUCGUAUCCGAUUUCAAUGUUUUUCAUUCAAGGAUGAAAAAACCGAGUUUUGCUAAAUUUCAGCGAAAUUUCACUGGUUUUAGAACUCAAUGUAACCUAGGUCAUCAAGAUUUAGCUCAAUAGCAACUAUAAGAGACUCUUUUUAUCCUUCCUAAUUGACACAGAAAUUUUGGUGUCCUCCAAUAACUUUGUUAAUUAGAUCUCCAAAUAUAGACCUCCUCUAUUUUAGAUUUCUCGGUAGACAAAGAUG
rnacentral:lncRNA from 1 species